rnacentral:rRNA from 1 species
GUGAGGAAUAUUGGUCAAUGGGCGAGAGCCUGAACCAGCCAAGUCGCGUGAAGGAAGAAGGAUCUAUGGUUCGUAAACUUCUUUUGCAGGGGAAUAAAGUGCAGGACGUGUCCUGUUUUGUAUGUACCCUGAGAAUAAGGAUCGGCUAACUCCGUGCCAGCAGCCGCGGUAAUACGGAGGAUCCGAGCGUUAUCCGGAUUUAUUGGGUUUAAAGGGUGCGUAGGUGGUUUGAUAAGUCAGCGGUGAAAGUUUGCAGCUUAACUGUAAAAAUGCCGUUGAAACUGUCGGACUUGAGUGUAAAUGAGGUAGGCGGAAUGCGUGGUGUAGCGGUGAAAUGCAUAGAUAUCACGCAGAGCUCCGAUUGCGAAGGCAGCUUACUAAGCUACAACUGACACUGAAGCACGAAAGCGUGGGGAUCAAACAGGAUUAGAAACCCGUGUAGUCC